UACAGAGGGGGCAAGCGUUGUUCGGAAUUACUGGGCGUAAAGGGCGCGUAGGCGGCCUUCUAAGUCGAACGUGAAAAUCCCCCGGGCUCAACCCGGGAACUGCGUCCGAUACUGGAAGGCUUGAAUCCGGGGAGAGGGAUGUGGAAUUCCAGGUGUAGCGGUGAAAUUCGUAGAUAUUGGGAAGAACACCGGUGGCGAAGGCGGCGUCUGGACCGAGACUGACGCUGAGGCGCGAAAAGCGUGGGGGAGCAAACAGG
rnacentral:rRNA from 1 species